GAUGAAGAACGUAGCGAAAUGCGAUAAGUAAUGUGAAUUGCAGAAUUCAGUGAAUCAUCGAAUCUUUGAACGCACCUUGCGCCUUUUGGUAUUCCGAAAGGCACACCUGUUUGAGCGUCAUGAAUACCUCAAUCUCCAUCUUUUCUUCGGAUUGAUGGGUGACUUGGAUGUUGAGCCCUGCUGGUAUGCUAUAUCAGCUGGCUUUAAACUUAUUAGCCGGCUCUGUACUGGAUCGGUUUGACUCGACGUGAUAAUAUUAUCGUUGAGGAUGCAUGUCUCAUGCAGCCGGAAAGUAUCAAAGCAGCUUCUAGCUUGCCUGUAGUGCACUUUUACAUUUUAGACCUCAGAUCAGGUGGGACUACCCGCUGAACUUAAGCAUAUCAAUAAGCGGAGGA
rnacentral:misc_RNA from 1 species